rnacentral:rRNA from 1 species
AGAAGCGGGGGAUAACACCUGGAAACAGAUGCUAAUACCGCAUAACAACUUGGACCGCAUGGUCCGAGCUUGAAAGAUGGCUUCGGCUAUCACUUUUGGAUGGUCCCGCGGCGUAUUAGCUAGAUGGUGGGGUAACGGCUCACCAUGGCAAUGAUACGUAGCCGACCUGAGAGGGUAAUCGGCCACAUUGGGACUGAGACACGGCCCAAACUCCUACGGGAGGCAGCAGUAGGGAAUCUUCCACAAUGGACGAAAGUCUGAUGGAGCAACGCCGCGUGAGUGAAGAAGGGUUUCGGCUCGUAAAACUCUGUUGUUAAAGAAGAACAUAUCUGAGAGUAACUGUUCAGGUAUUGACGGUAUUUAACCAGAAAGCCACGGCUAACUACGUGCCAGCAGCCGCGGUAAUACGUAGGUGGCAAGCGUUGUCCGGAUUUAUUGGGCGUAAAGCGAGCGCAGGCGGUUUUUUAAGUCUGAUGUGAAAGCCUUCGGCUCAACCGAAGAAGUGCAUCGGAAACUGGGAAACUUGAGUGCAGAAGA